rnacentral:lncRNA from 1 species
CGUGUUGCUUUAUCUGUCGGCUCACCUCAUUUGCUUAGGGUAGCAUCUGGGCUGGAACUGCUGCACCUUCCCUUAAAUCUAACUUUGGCUUCUCCAGUUCCUGAGCCAGGUGUGUGUUUAUGUGUUUAGCUCUGGGAAAAAGGGCAUUAGUGUCUCCUGCAGGACACUCACUUCAUCAAGGCUGGAGACAGCAAGAACUGACACUGGUUCCAGGCCAUCCUUGUAGGUUACAUCUUGACCUUAAUCUCUCCUAUUUAUAUGCACCUUGCCUGCUCUUGGGUUUCAAAUCCAGCAUUAGACGCAAAAAUAAUAGCGUAAUAGAAACUGUUCAACCACAGCAAAGUGCUGGGAUUACAGGCGUGGGCCACCGGCGCCCGGCUGGCUCAAAUUUUUAAAAUUCUUACUAAUUUUUUAUUUGCUAGAUCACCCCCUUUCUAUCUUGUCCUUUAUUAUCCAUUUAAUCCUAUCCUUUUUUUGAAACCCUAACAGUCAUUAUUGUUGUGCUAAUCAGCUGCCUUUGCUUUCAGAUCCAUUUCCUGCCCUUCUUUUAUUCUACUCUGUAUUACAGCCAACCACAUUUCCAGGCUCCCUUGUCCUCUGCUAUCUAGGUGAGUUUUGUCAGUGGAAGACAUUGGUGGAAGGUUGGAUGCUUCUUCUUCUAGCAUCUCUGGUGGUGGCUGUGUUUCCUCCCUGACUCCAGCUCCCACUGGGUGUCAUUCACUUUGUGGUUUUGGUGCUUGCCCAAUGGCCUGGCUUCUGAGCCCUGCUUCUGCAGCCCAGGGAGAGUAGCAGCAGUCUGCUGUUUUUAGUGUCUGGGUUGCCACUCUUUUCCUGUUUGACCUCUCUGGGCUUCCAUGACCCACAUAAGUCAUUAAAUUCCCUCUGUCAAAAAGACUUAGGUUCCUGUUUCAUGACUGGAUGCUGACUGAUAUUGUUAUUACCAUUGUAACUAUUAUCGUUGUUAUUGUUUUUAUUAUUUUAUACUGCCAAUGCCUGUUUAAAUUUACCCAUGUGUUUUCAAAUUACUUUGAUCACCUUGCAUUUUGCAUUCCACUUCUAUACUUUUGGUUAAAGUUUUCUUCUUUUUGCAACAUAUCCCUAGCAUUUAUUUCUAUAAAGGUCUGUGUUUUAGAUAACUUACAGAUUCAAAAUUUUAAAAUAUGGCUUUUUGUCAUUUACUUAAGAUCUGUAUGCAAGAAGAAAUGAAAAAGAUGAACAGGUAGAGUCCAGGACUACCUACCACAGCUCAGGUCAACAUUAAUUUUAUGAUUUAAUUAAUUCCAUAAAUUCUCUUUUCUGUAUGAAUAUAAGGUUCCUCCCUCCCUGUACUCACACAUCUACCUCUUCUAGGAGUUGCCUUGGGAUCCACAAAGAAAUUGAGGUGGUCCAGUACUCAUAAGCCAACAAACUUCAAAGGAGAGUCAAAUGUACAUUUUCAAAAUAAGAGUACUGAAAAGCAUUGAAAUAAACACACAAAAAGAGAUUCAAAUGUACAUCUUAAAAGGAGGAGGAGAUUCUUUGAAGAAGUAGGGGAAUAUGACGUUGAAAGUCUCUGAAGAGGUUGUGAUAGUUGUUUAAGGGAGUAGAACAUUAAAACAUUUUUGUCUGUUCAAUCUUAAUUUUUAAAAAUGAUAGCAUAGAGUUUGGCCAAUUAUGGAGGGGCUGAUUUCAUCACUAUCAAUGAGCAGUAAACUUUCUUGGUCUUUUAUUUGGGGAAUGUAUUUAUUUUACUUUCACUUUUGAAUGAGACUUAGCUGAUGCAAUGGACUGAAUUGUGUUCCUCCAGAAUUUGUAUGUUGAAGCUGUAAGGGCAAAUGUGACUGUAUUUGGAGGCAGGGCCUUUAAAGAGGUAAUUAAGGUUAACUAAGGUCAUAAAGAUGGGGCCUAACCCAAUAUCACUGUCCUUAUAAGAAGAGACACCCGGGAUGCAUUUGCACAGAGAAAAGGCCCCAGGAAGACACUGCAAGAAGAGGGUGCUCUUCAAGUCAGGGAGAAACCAAACCUACUAACACUUUGAUCUUUGACUUCUGGGCUCCGUAACUGUGAAAAAUAAGCUUCUGUUGUUUAAGCCACCUAAUUUGAGGUAUUUUGUUAUGGCAGCCCUAGAAAACUAAAUACAGCUGGGUAUAGAAUUCUAGGUUGAUGAUUUUGCUUUUAUAGUAUUUUUAUAAUAUUUUGAGAUGUGUGUCUUUGAAGUUCUGCAGUUGCAUUAUAUUGUGGCUUGCUUUGGAUUUGUUACAUUUAAGCUUUAUUUAUCCUUCCUGGAAUUCAUUACAGUUUUUGAACUUCAGGAUUCAAGUGUUUUAAUCAUUGAUGAAAACAUUUCAACCAUUAUCUCUUCAAGUAUUGCCUGUCUUAUUUUCCUCUAUUUCGCAUUCUUGGAAUUAAAUCUGUUGGUUCUCCUUUUCCGUCUUCCAUGUCCCUUAAUCUUCCAUAUUUUCCAGAUCUUUAUAUCUCUGUGCCUAUUGAGUAAUGUCUAAAAUCUGUUUUCCAGUUUAUAAAUUAUCUUGCUAUAUCAAAUCUGCUAUUUAACCUACUCAUUUAAGUUUUCAAUUUCCUUGACAUAUACCUAUGUGAAUGGGUGGGUUUUUACUUAGACUACCUUUUCAUGUAGAAUAUGUAGACUACCUUUUCAUGUAGAACCUAGCUUCUAUGCAAGGUUCUCAAUUCCAAUUUCCUGUCCACUUGGGCCCAGUGCUUACCUCAUGUUUCCACAUGAGCGUGAAAUCACAAGCCCUUGGGUGAACAGAAUCAGUAAUCACUGGUCGGGUGCAGUGGCUCAUGCCUGUAAUCCCAGCACUUUGGGAGGCUGAGGUAGGCGGAUCAUGAGGUCAGGAGUUUGAGACCAGCUUGGCCAACAUGGUGAAAUCCUGUCUCUACUA